rnacentral:rRNA from 1 species
CCUACGGGUGGCAGCAGUGGGGGAUAUUGCACAAUGGGGGGAACCCUGAUGCAGCGACGCCGCGUGGGUGAAGGAGUGCUUCGGCAUGUAAAGCCCUAUCGGCAGGGAAGAAGCAAGACGGUACCUGACUAAGAAGCCCCGGCUAACUACGUGCCAGCAGCCGCGGUAAUACGUAGGGGGCGAGCGUUAUCCGGAUCCACUGGGUGGAAAGGGCGCGUAGACGGCCAUGCAAUCCAGGGGUGAAACCCCGGGGCCCAACCCCCGCACUGCCCUUUGCCAUGUUCGGCUAGAGUGCGGGAGGGGCAGGCGGAAUUCCUGGUGUAGCGGUGAAAUGCGUAGAUAUCAGGAGGAACACCGGCGGCGAAGGCGGCCUGCUGGACCGCGACUGACGUUGAGGCUCGAAAGCGUGGGGAGCGAACAGGAUUAGAUACCCCAGUAGUC